UACGUAGGGUGCGAGCGUUAAUCGGAAUUACUGGGCGUAAAGCGUGCGCAGGCGGUUCGUUGUGUCGGCGGUGAAAGCCCCGGGCUCAACCUGGGAAUGGCCGUUGAAACUGGCGAACUGGAGUGUGGCAGAGGGGGGUGGAAUUUCGCGUGUAGCAGUGAAAUGCGUAGAGAUGCGGAGGAACACCGAUGGCGAAGGCAGCCCCCUGGGCUGACACUGACGCUCAGGCACGAAAGCGUGGGGAGCAAACCGG
rnacentral:rRNA from 1 species